rnacentral:siRNA from 1 species
GGAUGUGCUUCAAUACCGUCUAGC